GGCGCGAGCGGGCCGAGGUCCUCGCUGUCGCCUCCAUCUCCGACGACGAGCUCAAGGAGGUCUCGGAGCAGCUCUACGCCGCCGACGGGAACCGGGCYGCCAGCGGGCAGAUCGUCCUCGACCUGCAGUACGAGAUCGCGGCYUCCAAGGCCAGCGCCGGCAAGGACUACGCCUCGAAUAGGUGCCGAGCGGGGGGAGAGCCUGGGCGCCUGUCUGUCCCUCCACCCGUCCGGCUGUCUGUCCUUUCGGCCAGCCAUCUAUCCACCCAUCUGUCCAUCUAAGUAGCCUUGUAGCUAUCCAUCUGUCCUGCAAACAUCCAUGCCUGUCCUUCUAUCCAUCCGUUUGUUCAUCUGUCCAUCUACCUGUAUAUAUUUUUCUCUUCAUCCACCCUAUAUCCAUCCCUCCAUCCUAUAUCCAUCCAUCCCUCCUACAUUGAUCYAUCCCUGCUACAUCGAUCCAUCCCUCCUACACUGAUCCAUCCUUCCUCAACUCAGCUGUCUGCGCAUCUCUCUGUCCACCCAUAUCCAUCUUGUUGUCCACCUGUCGGUCCUCCCAUCCUUGUCCAUCUGUCUGCUGUCCUUCCAGCCAUCCCGUACCCAUCCCGUAUCCACCCUGUAUCUGUCCAUCCACCCCGUAUUCACCCACCCACGUAACCUGCUCCUGUGCCUCUGCCCCUGUCCCCGCGCCUCCCUCGCCGUCCCCGUGGCCCAGGCUCUUCAAGUACGUGGCGGAGGCCACGCUCUUUGCCAAGCCCACCUUCGCCCGGCUCCUGGCCCUCCUGGACAACUACGAGGAGAAGACGGGCUACAGCGAGACGCUGCUGUCCGAGGAGGAGCAGGAGGUGGAGGCCUUCCUGGAGGCCGUCUUCCAGACGUCCGUCAUGGCCACGCUCACGAGCUUCUUCCUCGACAAGGGUAGGGGACGGGGACAGGGGAUGGUGGGGACAGGGGCUGGGGAUACCAGGGGAGCAGGAAGGGGCUGGCGCUGCGUGGGCUGGGGGAGGCCGUGCCCCCCGGCCCGGCCCCACGCAGUGUGCCCCCCCCCAGGCCUGUACUCCUCGGCGAAGGCUUUCCAGGCUGACCUGAAGGAGAUGUGGUUCGGGCUGUACUCGCGCUCCAGCGGGGCGGCCCUCGACUCCUCCGGCUUCGAGCACGUCUUCCACGGUACCGCGGCCAGGGGGCACGGGGAGGACGGAGCUGGGGGGACGCGGGACGCAUGGGGAAGGGAAGGACGGGGGGAUGAGGGGACAGAGCCCAUGGGGACGAGAACGGGGGGAGAUGGGGACCUGGGGAUACAGGGCGGACGGGGGGACAGCGCCUGGGGACACGAGGCCACGUUGCUGUCACACUGCUCUCUGCCCAGGGGAGAUCAAGAACGGGAAGGUGUCAGGCUGCCACAGCUGGGUGCAGCUCUACGAGCUGGAGAAGGCCGGAGAACUCAACUACCUGAGCUACAGCUACGACGGGCCCUGGACCGCCUUCCCCGACGUCCUGGCCCUGCAGUACCGCUGGAACGGCUACCUCAAGAGCAUCGGCUCCCUCUUCGUGGGCUCCAGCCCCGAGUUCGACCUGGCCCUCUACACCCUGUGCUACAAGGCCCGGCCCGACCAGAAGUGAGUGGGGGACCCACGGCGCGGGGUGGCAGGGACCCACGGCCAGGGGUGGCGGGGACCCACGGCCCGGGACAGCGGGGGCCGUCCCCGAGCGCCGGCGGGGUCUGCCGUCCCCGCGGGUCACAGCGCCGUCUCCGUCCCCGCAGGUGCGAGGUGAGCCUGGGGGGCAAAGCCGCCCAGAUCCAGACCUACUCCUGGACCAGCUCCUUCUACGGGGACAACCAGCGCUUCGUGGCCUCCUCGUACCCCGUGAGCCCCUGAGCCGCCCGCGCCGGGCAAUAAACCUCCGCUCACCCCUCGCCCUGCCUCUGCC
rnacentral:lncRNA from 1 species